AUUGAACGCUGGCGGCAGGCCUAACACAUGCAAGUCGAGCGGAGCGGCGGACGGGUGAGUAAUUCCUAGGAAUCUACCUGGUAGUUGGGGAUAACGUCCGGCAACGGGCGCUGAUAACUCACACUCUCAGAUGGACCUAGGUCGGAUUAUCUAGUUGGUAGGUUAAGGGCCUACCAAGGCGACGAUCCGUACCUGGUCUGAGAGGAUGAUCAGUCACACUGGAACUGAGACACGGUCCAGACUCCUACGGGAGGCAGCAGUGGGGAAUAUUGGACAUUGGGCGCAAGCCUGAUGCAGCCAUGCCGCGUGUGUGAAGAAGGUCUUCGGAUUGUAAAGUACUUUAAGUUGGGAGGCGUUACCAACAGAAUAAGCACCGGCUAACUUCGUGCCAGCAGCCGCGGUAAUAC
rnacentral:rRNA from 1 species